GCGAACCUUCCUCAAUGAUGCAGUGAGGCCUCUCGCACAUGCACAAUGGUCCCGUGACGUUCCAUCAAGAGUUCCGAUGCGUGAAGUGGCAACCUGACCUUUGCUUCACCAUGCCCUCUCGUGUGCCUCGCCAGUUUGCAUCGCUGAUGCAUACGGUUCGUCUCGGGGUUGCGUUCACCCCCCAGUUCAAGCAUCUGAUCGGCCGUUCCGACUCCAUGCUUUGCUCGCGUUGUGCUGUUUUGACGGAUACUAAGCAUGUGCUACUCGACUGCCAUCUUUACAACUCCCAAAGAGCAGCUCCACAGUGUCGCCUGCAAUCGAACGCGGCCGCACCAUUCGCAUUGGCAACAAUCCUCGGCUCUUGGCCUAACCGGAUCGACCACCGCCAAGCUCUGGAGUACUUCCAGAUUUUUCUCUGGGACACCGGUCUCCUCUCUACCCUAUGAUAUGUCUGCCUACCUGUGUGCUGUGUGUGUGUGUUGUGUUUUUGCCUAGCGUUCUGUUGAUGUUGUCUCACUGACUCCACUGACUGUCGACCCCUGUUCAGCGUCGUUCAUCGUCUCGUCAUCAGGACACAUCUCAUUCCGUCCAUAGUGCCUUGGCGUAGCGGGCCGCACCUCAUGUGGCGAAUUUCACCAUUCAUCAUCAUUAAUUUAUCUGUUGUUGUUGUUGUUAGCGUGACAGUUCGACGAGCCCUCCUUAAUCCUCACGAUAUUCACAGUGGCAGGUUACCAAAGCGCACGCGAAGUCCAGGUUGCUGUCCGUAUCCUCGUUGAGAUUCAUGAGCCACAAGCAGUGCUCACAUGAGUAUGUUCUGCCUGACAGGGACAGAGGCACAGCUACGCCGGGCAUCGGUAAAAACAAUGCCUGAAAAUCUUAUUCUAUUCCUAAUUCUUCAUUAAUUUUUUGAGAGAGUAGUUUCGUUCUGUUGUGGUCAAGGUCUCUCCGGCCACCGAAUAGGUCAUGGCGGGUCAGAUACGGCCCGCGUGUUUGAGAUCCCCAGCACUACUUCGCUGUGUGUUUCGUGCUACACAUACUUCGUUUUUAACAAUGGUAUAAGAACUGUGCAGUAUGCGCCAUCGCUUUUUAACAGUUUCCAGCUCAAGGCCAUUCGUUACUUGAGCAAGAGAUGUCCCGACACAACUCCCCUAUACUCUUGCCCUUAUCUCAGGCGCUGGGUUGGAGAUAAUCUCCAUGGCACACAGCCUAGGGUAUCAUUCUGUUUACUGUCCCUUCUCCACGUGACAGACUCUGAUUUGCCCGCUCGACUGCUCUGUACUUGACCGUUAGACGAGCCUUAUCGGUGGUCUCUCAGCCUAUAUAUCGUCAAAUUUCAGAGCAGCAGGGUUCGUUAUCACUUAGUUACCAUGGCCACCAAGAGAUGGAGUGUACACGACUACUGCCGACGAGAGCCAGGCAGUUGUAAAUGGCAUGUGGCUUGAUCAGCUGUCUUUUACCGUCUCAGGCGACAUUCACGCGAGAUGUUUCAUCCCUGCUACCACCUCGUCUGAAGAAAGUUCUGGCUUGCCCUCAUGAAUCCCUCGGUUGCGCCUCGUUUAUUCCUCCGUGCUCACCUUCGCCUUCACAUAUCUUUUGCUGCCAGGGCGGGUCACAGCAUGAUUGGCUACACGUUCAAGCAACAAUGACCGCUCCAGUGACGUUACCCAGGGCAACGACGAGGUGUACGUUCCUCUAUACUUUGAUCACCAUCUAUAUUCACCACCUUCGUGCAAACUCGAACGCCUAUUCUACCGGAGCUUCGGCAACCUUGUGUGGCACGCCGGCUGCGUUCCGCAGAAGUGAAAUAUGUGCAUGUGCUCGUCUUGUACCGUGUAUCUUUAUGAGCCAGCUACGUAAUACACUUGUUACUGCAGUGGAAUGUCCUCUCAUAGCCACGUAGUACGAUGCCCUUGAUGUAUGAGUACACAGAGACAGUUGUCCUAAGCAGCACAAUGUACUGAAAGUCGAGUACAAUGGGGGUUGACGAGUAGGUGGAAGGUCUUGAACAGACCCGUGAAACUAAAGACAUUGAUAAGGCACAUACCGUCUACCCCCAUUGUACUCGACUUUCUGUACAUUGUGCUGCUUGGGGUACUAUAUAUUCUCUCAGAAGAGCGACCUGUUCAGCGUACUUUCUCAUUAUAACGUUAUCUUUUACGAUGACCACAAAACAGUGGAAACAUUCCUUGUUCUGCAUCUUUCAUGGCUGACGUUUAGUCCAUGCUGCGCGGAAACAUGCUAUCAAGCGGAAGUUGCUGUGUUCAUGCAUCAGAAUGCAAUCUCAGCAGCGGUAUUAUACUGUUGGUAUUUUCCAUAUUUCUUUGCUAUGUAGUUUAUGGUGUCUAGAGCGGCUGUAGCCCCUGAGGGAGUGGUUGACAGCAUUUUAAAAUCAAGAAAUGCUAAUACAUCGCGUAACACUUUUAGCACCAACCACUAUGUAUAGUCAAAUGUAUAAUGGGUUACACAGAUCCAUUAUUUAGCAUUAUAAUUACCUCAGAACUACCAGAAUUUAUGUAAUUUGGAACAGAAGAGUCACGCCUGCUGUUCUGAGUAAAUAAAGUAUAGUAGUAUUAUACUACGCGGCAGAACUACAAAAAAAAAAAAAAAACGUCGUUUUUAGGGGUGUUCUGACGAUCUCAUUGUAACGAAAAAAGAAAUCUGUAUAAUUCGCAUGUGGAACAUAAGCGAGCGUACCCAUAAAAGUGGUUGACUUUGCGCUGGCUCAUACAGUAACUGAUAGCACGUAGGUAUCACAAGAAUAUAUGGCUGACCACAGCAACGCCUAUCUAAAGACCGAAGUCUAAAUGCUCGCGAGGGGCGUUUGCAGUACAUUUCUCUGCGACGUAUGCGUUGUUCGCUAAAAAGGUGUCUCUUUUAUUGGUCUUUUUCUUUUCUUUAAUUUGUUCUUGUUUUUCUCUAUCAGAAUAUUCUAAGGUGGAACACACGGUAUGAAGGAGGAGUACCCACGCCGGAACAUCGCUGAGACAACACAUCUAACGGGGCUGCCCAAGUACACAGAAUCACUGUGUCCUGGCUUCUUUGUCCUCCAUUUCUAAGGCAAAGAACCUCGAACAUAACUUCCUCGAAGACUUCGAGGUUUAUUCAGCAGGGAUAUGUCCAGUGCAUCUUUUCACACAGUUUCUCAGAAGACAGGAGUUGUGGAUCGUCGUGUUGGGGUGUUCGUGCUACUGAAGAAAAAACUCUUCCACAUUUCGGGACCAGCCUCCGCUCUGGAAACUACGUUUCGACAUUUGAGGUGGACCCAGGGAUAUGUCCCUGGUGAAACGCUUAGUCAAGCGCACUCGAGUGCUGGGCUCUACACCAAGCCACAAUGUAUUUUCGUUGUACAAACACUUCUGCGAACGGCGGCCAGUGAUUGAGGUACUUGUCAAGGUCUGUCUCUACGACAAAGCAUUUCAAAUUAUUUUUCUUGAUACAAGCGAUGACGGCCUUUGGAAAGGAAUGACUCUCUAUGACAGAUGUAAAGUCUACGUCACUUCACGAGAAAGCGAGAAUGAGACGUUGGAAGUCCUAGCCCACGAAAUAACCCAUCUGGCGAUGCAUCAGAUCUUUAGGAAGCAUGGUCAGCCUUAUGAUUUUUCGUCAUCGGCACUAGAAAAAGAGAUUUCGUUUUGCAAAAGGAACAGCUCAUAUAUACUAGACCACGUGCUUUCCAGCUACUAUGAAUCAGACUGGGAUAGUGAAAUCAUUGCUUUCGCGAUGGGAUCGUUGUUUAUGUGUGAUAGAGAAGAAUGUGUUAAUGAAUUAUUAGAAGCGUUCAAGGGACACGUGUCGAAAAAUUGUAGGAAGUUCAAGACAAGUCGAAAGACAAAGUUUUCGAAAGUUUUUUGGUGGCUGCUCGGCUUUAUUUUCUCAGCAUAAGGAAUAAUAUGGGAAAACGAAGAAGAAAUGAAGAAAGAAGAAAGUCACUGAAAAGGUUAGCCAGCCGUAGGAUCUCGACAAUCGCAACGCCCGGACUCAUGGGUUUAGCUCAAGCGAGGCAGCCAUCCGUGGACGCCUCAAGAGAGGUAGAAGCAUUUCGCCAUUACACUUGUCUGGCAACGCGGAAUUCACGCGCAUGGACUAUAGGCCAUCUGACUAAUUCCUACGUACAUGAUGUUAUGAUGCCACUCCGUCACGAAAUCCUGCUACGUAAAGUGCUUGAAGCCCCAGUUUGCUCCCUUUUGAACUCUUCAUCAGCCCAGUGUUACUGGACCACCUCGAUGCACGUGCUGAGACAGCUAACAGUGAAAGUCACAGCCAGGCACACGGCAGCGAAAAACGCCUUCACUGAUGUAUCAACGAAGGAUAUAGGGACAUCCUGUAUCCUUACGCAAGUAUCCAGUGCACAUCGUGCUGUUCGCCUCUCACACAAGGCUAGUGGAGUACUGAACGUCAUUCGGUACAUUCCAUUGUAGGAAUGUCCGACGACUCGAUACUUUUCAGCUAUUCGAAGGGCGACCUUGAAACACUUCAUGAUGUCAUGACGCAUGUGGUCUUGAAGUUGUUGAACAGGACAUCAUCAUGUAGUGCAAUACUGUUCUUGCAAAAGGACACCACAUAAGCAGGCAGGGGAUUCCUGGACACAACGGCAUUGGUGCGGACGAUGCAGUGACCUUUCCUAUUCCCAAUUCCAUUCGAUUUUUUUCCACUACGGUGUCAGGCGACAAGACGGAUACGACAACGAACAUCUUGAUCUCAAUGAAGUACUGGGUGACCAUGGACCAGCUGUGCUCCACUCUGUGAUAUCCUUCCUUGGGACUCUCCUGGUACACACGUCGUUCAAGCACUUUAGUAGCGAAACCAUACUUAGCGUGCUGGAGUAGACAAUCCCAGUGUUGAGGGCGGCCAACCUCUCCGAAUUAAACUAUUACAGUAUCAUCUCCACAAACUUCUCAGGAAUUAAAGAUCUUACCCGUA